rnacentral:guide_RNA from 1 species
AACAAACAAAAUAAUCAGUAUACAGUGAUAGUAGCAGU